UGCUUUAGUGGGAUUCAAACUAGCGACAUGAGGUGCCCACCACAUUAACCAACUGCACCAGUCGACUCUCGUAGGAAAAAUUGAGCUACAUAGUAUUUAUACACUAUAAUGGACGACAUUUUUUUCAUACAUGUCCCAAUGGUCGACUCUCGUGAUACAGAGGACAUUGAUUUGCACGGUGUUCGACGUGGAGUGUUUGAGUCAUGCUUAUGAGGCUAGAUUGGUGUGAUAUUAUUAUUUUUCUCUCGUUGCAACCCACGGG
rnacentral:lncRNA from 1 species